CGUAGGUGGCGAGCGUUGUCCGGAAUUACUGGGUGUAAAGGGCGUGUAGGCGGGAAUACAAGUCAGAUGUGAAAUACCGUGGCUUAACCACGGGGCUGCAUCUGAAACUGUGUUUCUUGAGUGUCGGAGAGGAAAGUGGAAUUCCCAGUGUAGCGGUGAAAUGCGUAGAUAUUGGGAGGAACACCAGUGGCGAAGGCGACUUUCUGGACGAUAACUGACGCUGAGGCGCGAAAGCGUGGGGAGCAAACAGGAUUAGAUACCCUGGUAGUCCACGCUGUAAACGAUGGACACUAGGUGUGGGAGGUAUCGACCCCUUCCGUGCCGCAGUUAACACAAUAAGUAUCCCACCUGGGGAGUACGGCCGCAAGGUUG
rnacentral:rRNA from 1 species